GACGAACGCUGGCGGCGUGCUUAACACAUGCAAGUCGAACGGAAAGGCCCUGCUUUUGUGGGGUGCUCGAGUGGCGAACGGGUGAGUAACACGUGAGUAACCUGCCCUUGACUUUGGGAUAACUUCAGGAAACUGGGGCUAAUACCGGAUAGGAGCUCCUGCUGCAUGGUGGGGGUUGGAAAGUUUCGGCGGUUGGGGAUGGACUCGCGGCUUAUCAGCUUGUUGGUGGGGUAGUGGCUUACCAAGGCUUUGACGGGUAGCCGGCCUGAGAGGGUGACCGGCCACAUUGGGACUGAGAUACGGCCCAGACUCCUACGGGAGGCAGCAGUGGGGAAUAUUGCACAAUGGGCGGAAGCCUGAUGCAGCAACGCCGCGUGCGGGAUGACGGCCUUCGGGUUAUAAACCGCUUUCGCCUGUGACGAAGCGUGAGUGACGGUAAUGGGCAAAGAAGCACCGGCUAACUACGUG
rnacentral:rRNA from 1 species